rnacentral:rRNA from 1 species
CGUGUAGGAUGAAGGUCCUACGGAUUGUAAACUACUUUUGUACGGGAAAAAACCCCUUGUUUCUACGAGGGUUGAUGGUACUGUAAGAAUAAGGAUCGGCUAACUCCGUGC